GACUGACGUCCAAAAAUUGCUCAGAAUUCAACAUUCAAAGGACAUCAUUAAAGAGACAAAAAAAAUGAUCCGAACUUCCUUUAAAAGAUUGUGACUGGUGACGAAACGUGGUGUUUUCAAUAUGAUCCCGAAACAAAACGCCAGAGUGCUGAAUGGAAGGCGCCGGACGAGCCGAAAAACAAAAAAUCGCGCCUGGAGGAGUCAAAAGCUACAUACUGCAGCCCUGAGCAGCGGCUGCUGAAUUGGUUUAUUUACAUUUGUAAAUAGUCAAGGAUUUUCAAAGCAAACCGAAAUGCCAUCUGCACGAAUUCUCGCUCAAGAGUUCUUGCGAAGAAAAUAACUUUGAGAGGCUAGGAUGCAGAGGAGAAUCAUAGAAGCUCCUCCCAACAGAUGGAAAGCAAGGUUUUGGUACACUGAGGAACUGAGGAACACUUCCCAAAAUUGUCAAUCCCGCCAUUGUUCCAGCUGACCACUGUUCUGCGGUUGGCUCCUUUCAAGGAGUAAUUGGGAAGGACUCGGACCUGGCCCUUUCUAGAACCAAAGUUUGCUAAAUGUUGUGGGAUGUUCUUCCCUUGAUGUAAAAGCAUUCUUUGCGCAAAAUUCAUAAAAUUUGACCAAACCAACCAGACCAAUAACACGGCCGCCACGAUUUAUUUUAUUAAAACGUCUGUCGAAGAACGGAGGAUUUAGAAACCGUAAAAAAUGUCGUCUGUGACACCGAAAUUUUUUAGGAAAUUCGGUUGGAAGAGGUUUCUGUGACACCCCCGAAUAUGAAAGUCUACUUAACUUUUAAAGUAAGUUAUACAUGUUUUUACAAAAAUAUUAUCCUAGACAUAAUAAUCUUGAUCAUUCAUUUUAAAUCCAAAUCAUUUGAUCUGUUAGCCACUGCAAGUGUGAAAUAUACAGACAUAUGUGAGAUAUAUAUCAGUUUGAACCAACUUUUUAAUGCAAUAAUUUGUAAGUCAUAAAUUAACAACACAGGAAUUAGAAGUCCCAAUGUCAAAACAAAUUCGAGUUAGAUGUAAAAAGGCCAAUUUACGGGCAUGCAUGCAUGUAUGCAUAAAAUAAAUUAAACUAAUCCCAACUACUCAAGUGUAUGAGUUGACAUACAUACGUUUAAAUGUCACCAAAUUGCUGUCAAUGAAACUGUUGAAACUGUUUUACGAAAAUGUAUGAGCUUUUAUUCAGAUGUUUUUUAUGAUCGGCACAAAUGAUAAUCGUUUUGAACUAAAAGACAUUAAUGCAUUAAAGUUAAAGUAAUAUUAAAAUACGCUUUAUGAGCAUUCGUCUUGUAGUAAGAUAACUUUUUAAAAAUUAUAGAGAAUCGAACGGUUAAGAAGGCUCGAUAAACGUUUUGAAUUAUGUAUAGAGUGACUUAAUGUCAUAGAUAUGCAUUCAUCCACCAUCUACCAUCCCUUGAACAGAUGGUCCCAAAAGGACUUUCGCGUCAUCAUCCAGAUUUUAUUUAUAGUGUCUUUUCACAAAGAUCCAUUCAUAGAUAGUUUCACAUGUGAGUUUUACGCGUCGAAUAAUCGUAUUAAUUGUAGUGUGACCGAAGUAUUUAAAGCUCACCCGCAAUACAAAUAGCAUGGUCUUACUGUGAAGCUCUGAAAAAUUAGAGCAAUUUAACUAAGACGAAUCUGCUGGUGCACAAAGAAAUACAAAUAAAUUGUCGCAUAUCCUUCGCCAUCCUCUACGUACCAUUUGCAUUGCAAUUGGCUUGGAUUCGUGGUGGGAACAGAAUUGUCCCCCUAAUACAGCAGGAAGGAAAAACACACCGUGCUCCUCCAGCUCUUCCCCUAUUCUUCAGAUUCGUAUUGUCCCCAGUGGGGCGAGCCCAUAAUAAUGGGCAACAUUUUGGCGACUUUUUUAGUUUGGACUGACCUCCUGAAGGCGUAUUUGCCGUGGUUUAUCUGUUUUUUCUUACGUUUUUAAUUUUUUGUUUCCGCAAGCAUUAACCAAAAAUCACAAAUUGGCAAAUUUAUUCAACCAAAAACUGUUGAAAUAAAAUUGCGCUAUUCCGCUGUUUGCACCUCACAUAGUACAUAUGUACAUGCGCACAUCUUACCAUUCUCCAGCGCACAGAGGUUAAGGGGCUCACAAUAAAUUUUGGUAAUGGACCAAAAGAUUUAAGUCUCGAUGUGUUAAUUUCUGUACUUGGCGUUUCGUAACUUUAUUAGGAACGAAAUCCCCAAAUAGGACAAAAACUACGUAGGCAUGCAGGCUUUAAAAAAAACUGUAAUUCACGAUCCCUUUUAAAAUAGUUUGCUUUAAAAAAGAAUAUAGUCAAAGAAUGGCCCAUAGGAGUUCCUAUUUAAUUUUCACUGAAUGACACUCUCAUCCUUGAGUUUGGUUAAAAUUGGCACGAUAAAUCACGCCACCAAUAUUUAUUAAAGCAUAAAGCAUAUAUAAUCAGUUUUUCAGGAUUUUAGCCUAUGUACACGACCGUGAUGUAUCAGCAGUCCCUUUGCCUACUAGGGGCCCGAGGUUAGAAUCUACAACUCCUUCUGAUCUAUUUGCAGGUUGCGAGAUCAAUCCGGUUGAAGGUCCGAUAAGCUUAUUUACUUAGCUGGUGGAAGGGUGGUGUUCUCUGAAGCACAGUCGCUGUCGGUUAGCACAAGUGUGGCAUCAACUUGACCGAUACUGGCAGCUUCUGGAUACAGGCCGCAGGUGGCUCCUACAGGGCCAGAAGCGAAGAUUAUCGGCAGAUAUGGGUAUAGUCGCCAUCCCUGCAACAUUUUCUAUCGCAGAAGACUUCUAGACUUCUAGAAGAUAAAACUAUCGUCCGCUAUAUGGCAUUCGGAUCGCGGAAGUCACUCCCGUCGGGAAGAAAUGUGCCACUUCGGCGGAACUUCUCGGAGUCACUUCGGCGACACUUCGGGAAGUCACUUCGGCGACUUUUCUUGAAGUGUCUUCGGCGACACUUCCAGGAGUGACUUCGGAGAUACUUCUGAAAGUGUCGCCGAAGUGACUCCGAGAAUUGCCGCCGACAUGUCGGAAACGCUGCUUAAUAAUUUUAUUUAUGUCCAGCUCCGUUCACAUGAGAAAUUUAAUAAUAACAUUUCUAAAAUAAACAGAAGCAAAUUUUUUUUUCCUCGCCAACGACAUCCAGUAUUUCCCGGUGAGUCCGUUCCGGACUACAAAGUCGGGGCGGCCGAGUGCGCCGGUUAGCUAUCUUGAAGGGGACGCUGGCCGACGACAAUCGCUCCGUGCCGGCCAGCAGUGGCUGAAAAUUUAAAACUUAAAUUAAACACAUGUACCUUGAUUGUAUACCUAGCAUUUACUUGACUGUGUAAUUGUUCAUUUAUCCGGAUUAAGACCCGAAAGCCGUAUUUGUCCUCGUCGCCUUUUCGCCUUUUCCAUCAAAACAGAUCCUCGGCUUUGACUAAUUAAGUCCUGAAGACGGUGGCCAAGUCUUGGUCUUGAAGGCAAGAAAGGAUAGAUCGGUUAGGAGGAAGAUGCAUAUAAAUUAUUGUACAUACCAAAUACAUUAAAUGUUUGUAAAAUCCACCAUGCGUGAACCUGCUAAAGCCCGGAAUCACU